UACGUAGGUGGCAAGCGUUGUCCGGAUUUACUGGGCGUAAAGAGCGCGCAGGCGGUCGGAUAAGUCGAAUGUGAAAGCCCCCGGCUUAACUGGGGAGGGUCAUUCGAUACUGUUCGACUCGAAGGCAGGAGAGGGAAGUGGAAUUCCCGGUGUAGUGGUGAAAUGCGUAGAUAUCCGGAGGAACACCGGUGGCGAAGGCGGCUUCCUGGACCGACACUGACGCUGAGGCGCGAAAGCUAGGGGAGCAAACGGG
rnacentral:rRNA from 1 species